rnacentral:lncRNA from 1 species
CUAGAAAACACAAGAAUGAUUGGAUGUUCAGCAUAUCACCUUCCAAAUGAUCUCUGCACAAAGAAGCAAAAUCCUUAUCACUGACAGAAUCUGCAGAAGCCCUCCCCACCACUCGUGGUUGUCAAUGGCAUUCCAGAUGAGCAUCUUCCAGUUCUGUGUUUUAAUGAUCAUUUUUUGCCAUGAUCAACUGCCUAUUUGACUUGCAAGAAGCAGAUUUCUGUUUCCAGUACCUCUGUAAAUGAAGGGAGAAGGAAACUUGCUGUUCCCAAGGCAAUAAACAGCCUUGCUUUGUUUUAUUGUUUUAGAUA